rnacentral:lncRNA from 1 species
ACAUCUGGACCACUAGCUGCAUGAAGGAGCUACCCGCUGUGGGUCUCCUCUUUGCUGACAGCUGGACACUUGACAGAAUGACCUGCCUGAACUCGGGACCUGCUGAAUGAUGGGACUGAAGAAGCUGUAACACAAACAGGGCUAAAACACGCACUCUUCCCCCGGCUCCCCACCGCCCCACCCACUUGCCACAUUGCAGGUGAUGAGAAGGAGAGAAGAGCUGUGGCCUUUCAGAGAGCAUAGUCCCAGGGGCUCCCUGAGCCAGGGCUGUGAAACCCUCUUCUGGGCACUGCAGUUCCUGGUAUCUCCAAGCUUCUGAGUGCCACCGCUUUCCCCGCGUCCGGAAGCAGAAAUUGCCACAACCAUCUCCAGCUUUAGCAAUGACCAUCCUGAUCAGUCAGUGGCCAUCCACAGUGAGGCAAGACUCCCUACCAGCAAAACGAAUGCAACGUGCUAAAGGCUCAGGUCGAUGCACGGAAAGAAAUCUCUCUCCUCACUUUAGGACAAUGGCAUAAUUGGUGGCCAUAGUACAAGGAU